rnacentral:rRNA from 1 species
UGCCAGCCGCCGCGGUAAUACGGAGGGGGUUAGCGUUGUUCGGAAUUACUGGGCGUAAAGCGCGCGUAGGCGGACUAUUAAGUCGAGGGUGAAAUCCCAGGGCUCAACCCUGGAACUGCGUCUGAAACUGAUUAUCUAGAAUCUCAAAGGGGGAAGGGGAAUUUCGCAUGUAGGGGUAAAAUCCGUAGAGAUGCGAAGGAACACCAGAGGCGAAGGCGCCUUCCUGGAUGAGUAUUGACGCUGAGGCGCGAAAGCGUGGGGAGCAAACAGGAUUAGAUA